AAGCGCUGUGAGGCGUUGAGCUAACCAAUACUAAUUGCCCGUGAGGCUUGACCAUAUAACACCCAAGCAAUU
rnacentral:rRNA from 9 species